rnacentral:sRNA from 2 species
UUUUGCUAUCUGCGGUAUGGAUGAUUCGAACCUGCAGCAGGUCCGAGCCGAACGCAGUGACGCAACGGAGCCGUUUACGGCGACGGCCCGAAGGGCGAGCGAAGCGAGUCAUCCUGCACGAUCCACCA